rnacentral:lncRNA from 1 species
UGUGUGUGUGUGUGUGUGUGUGUGUGUGUGUGUGUGUGUGUGUGUGUGUGUGUGUGUGUGUGUGUGUGUGUGUGUGAGAGAGUGAGAGAGUGAGAGAGUGAGAGAGAGCAUGCAUCCCUCAUAUAGACAUCCAGUGAAAAGAGAACACUUUGUAAAGUUGGCCACCAGGUGAAAUCCAGCAGGCCUGUAGAACUGGGAUGGUCAACAUGUCAUGUCUGAAAGCCUGUAGGACCUAGACCAGGAAGGUGUGUUAACACCCAGGAGAUGGUCCUGUGUGACAGAGAGAAGCUGAUGCAAUGCCACCGCAGGAGAAAUGGCAGAGCUCAACAAGUGUGCUGCUCUGACCAGCACUCACACUAAUAACACACUGACACAGGCAGGAACACAGACAGACAGGAACACAGACAGACAGGAACACAGACAGACAGGAACACAGACAGACAGGAACACAGACAGACAGGAACACAGACAGACAGGAACACAGACAGACAGGAACACAGACAGACAGGAACACAGACAGACAGGAACACAGACAGACCGGAGCACACAGUGACAGCAGGUAGAGAGGUACAGUCAGGAAAGCCAAACCAGCAUGACAGUGACACACACAGAACAGACCUAAUGACAAGAAGUUACACAAAACUAGAAAAACAAGUUCACAAUAACAGUUACUGGGCAGGAUGUGUGUGUGUGUGUGUAUGUGCGUCAUCGCUGACUAAGUGUGUGAGUGUGUAAUUCAGCCUUCACAACGCAAACACAUCUCUCUCCCUCCAUUCCCUUCCUUUUCUCUCCCUCCCUCUCUCUCCUGGACACUGUGUCCUAGCAACCAGACACUUCAGGCCUAAAAAUAACCCCCCAGAAACAAACAGAACAAAAAAAAUUAACAUACAUGACAAUUAAUCCUUUCAAACACAGAGCAGCAAAGACUCAAACAGAACAGGUAAGAGAAAGGUGGUGGUGGAGGAUGAGGAGGGAGAGAGGAAGCCAGCAACAGGUAAUCGUGAGACGACAGAGUUCUUUGCUGAAUGAGAGAAGAAUCUCGCUCCUCUCACUUCCAAGACCCACACUCUGCCUCGCUGUGUGUGUGUGUGUGUGUGUGUGUGUGUGUGUGUGUGUGUGUGUGUGUGUGUGUGUGUGUGUGUGUGUGUGUGUGUGUGUGUGUGUGUGUGUGUGUGAGAGAGAGAGAAGCCCACUCUACCUGGCAGUGGAAGAACAGAACCGUUCCAUAGUCCAACACCAGGCAGUAACUAGGGGUGGUGAAGACAAACCAGCCAUGCAGGCCAGCUGGGCCAAGCUGCACUGAGACACCGUGAACUACAAUACACUGUUCCACAAAGGCUGUACCACCUCUCCUCUCAGAACAACUCCGUGUAACUCUUUAAAUAUAGCUAGACUACUCUUCACAUCGUCCUUGCAUGGUUUCUAACCGUGUUAGUAAUAUUAUCAUCACUUUUGCUAACAGCUCCUCAACAGCAAUAGCCGACAUAAGUCCAGACCAACUCCAAUACUUUCCAUCUGUAGUUCCUGGGUAGGCAGACUUGCUGUAGCUGUGUCUCGCAAGCCACAACGUUAGAUACUGUUACAGUUGGUCUUAUACUGACCUGCACGGCAUGCAUCCAAACCUCACAUUCAAUACAUUAUCAAAGAAAACACAGCAUGACUCCCAUCACUCCUCCUAUCCAGUGGCCGGUACGUUCCCACUCACUCCUCCUAUCGGCACGUUCCCACUCACUCCUCCUAUCCAGUGGCCGGUACGUUCCCACUCACACCUCCUAUCCAGUGGCCGGCACGUUCCCACUAACACCUCCUAUCCAGUGGCCGGUACGUUCCCACUCACACCUCCUAUCCAGUGGCCGGUACGUUCCCACUCACACCUCCUAUCCAGUGGCCGGUACGUUCCCACUCACACCUCCUAUCCAGUGGCCGGUACGUUCCCACUCACACCUCCUAUCCAGUGGCCGGUACGUUCCCACUCACACCUCCUAUCCAGUGGCCGAACGUUCCCACUCACUCCUCCUAUCCAGUGGCCGGUACAUUCCCACUAACACCUCCUAUCCAGUGGCCGGUACGUUCCCACUAACACCUCCUAUCCAGUGGCCGGUACGUUCCCACUAACACCUCCUAUCCAGUGGCCGGUACGUUCCCACUAACACCUCCUAUCCAGUGGCCGGUACGUUCCCACUCACACCUCCUAUCCAGUGGCCGGUACGUUCCCACUCACACCUCCUAUCCAGUGGCCGGCACAUUCCCACUAACACCUCCUAUCCAGUGGCCGGUACGUUCCCACUAACACCUCCUAUCCAGUGGCCGGUACGUUCCCACUCACACUUCCUAUCCAGUGGCCGGCACGUUCCCACUCACACCUCCUAUCCAGUGGCUGGCACGUUCCCACUAACACCUCCUAUCCAGUGGCCGGCACGUUCCCACUCACUCCUCCUAUCCAGUGGCCGGUACGUUCCCACUAACACCUCCUAUGCAGUGGCCGGUACGUUCCCC